UCCUACGGGGGGCAGCAGUGGGGAAUAUUGGACAAUGGGGGGAACCCUGAUCCAGCGACGCCGCGUGAGUGAAGAAGUAUUUCGGUAUGUAAAGCUCUAUCAGCAGGGAAGAAAGAAAUGACGGUACCUGACUAAGAAGCCCCGGCUAACUACGUGCCAGCAGCCGCGGUAAUACGUAUGGUGCAAGCGUUAUCCGGAUUUACUGGGUGUAAAGGGAGCGCAGGCGGCACGGCAAGCCUGAUGUGAAAGCCCGCGGCCCAACCGCGGGACUGCAUUGGGAACUACCGGGCUGGAGUGCCGGAGAG
rnacentral:rRNA from 1 species